UUUCUUUUUUUCUCUUUCUUUUUCUUUUUCUUUUUCUCUCUCAAUUCCCUUUCUUUUUCCUCGUGCGCCUCCCUAACCGAAACCCCCCUUCGCGUCUCUUCCUCACCCUUUCGAAAGACCAGAACCCCUCUGAAACUGUUUGUCGUUCGAUCGAGCCCAGCACCCAUAAGCCGCCGCCCCUGAUCCGCGAGCAGCGUGUGCUAUCAGCCGCCUCAGUUGCCGAUAUGCACUACAGUCGCGCUGCUGCAUACCUCCUCCACCGUGUGCCCCUCUGUGCGUCGACGCGACCAGAUCCACCUCGUCGUCCGCGUUCAUUCAGUGCCACCCAGCCUUGUCACCGUCUUAGGUUCCAUCAGAUCUGUUUAGGUUAGAUUUGAUGUCUUAAAGAGGAAUUAUCACCCUGUGCAAGAAGGUUUGAGCAUGAUUGGAUUCACUAGAGGUCGUGGUUUCCUUCGGGAUUCACCAGAGGUUAUGAGUCCUACGGGAUUUACUAAAGGUAGUGAGUAUACUUAACUACAAUCAGAACAAAAUCAGUUAUUCAUGUAUGAGUCCCAUGAGGACUAAAGGAGUAUUUAUGUUCCACCAGAGGUAGGCAUCUAGAGGACAUAGAUGUCUAGCUUGACCCCAGUAGUGGGGUUACUUACUGAGAACUUUUAUACUCAUUCUUUCUCAUGUUGUUUCAAGUAAGGAUAGAGAUGCACCGGCGACUGAUAAGAGGAAUCAUUGAUCGAGCCACCGGGGACUAGUUUACAUGCUUCCGCUCAUAUUUUAAUGUUUAUAUUAUGUUUUACAUUUUCAGUUUUGAGAUUUGAGACUACCGUUUAAGUUUUAUUUUUAGAAUUAUUUGUUUCUUUUCAUGA